rnacentral:rRNA from 1 species
AUUGAACGCUGGCGGCAGGCUUAACACAUGCAAGUCGAGCGGAGAGAGGUAGCUUGCUACUGAUCUUAGCGGCGGACGGGUGAGUAAUGCUUAGGAAUCUGCCUAUUAGUGGGGGACAACAUUUCGAAAGGAAUGCUAAUACCGCAUACGUCCUACGGGAGAAAGCAGGGGAUCUUCGGACCUUGCGCUAAUAGAUGAGCCUAAGUCGGAUUAGCUAGUUGGUGGGGUAAAGGCCUACCAAGGCGACGAUCUGUAGCGGGUCUGAGAGGAUGAUCCGCCACACUGGGACUGAAACACGGCCCAGACUCCUACGGGAGGCAGCAGUGGGGAAUAUUGGACAACGGGCGCAAGCCUGAUCCAGCCAUGCCGCGUGUGUGAAGAAGGCCUUAUGGUUGUAAAGCACUUUAAGCGAGGAGGAGGCUACUUUAGAUAAUACCUAGAGAUAGUGGACGUUACUCGCAGAAUAAGCACCGGCUAACUCUGUGCCAGCAGCCGCCGUAA